AUGGAAAACCGGGAUCCCGAUGGAAAACCUGGAUCUCAACACCCAAAUCCCAACAAAUCACACCCAGAUUCCAAUGGAAACCCAGGAUCCCAAUGGAAAACCGGGAUCCUGAUGGAAAACCGGGAUCCCAGCACCCAAAUCUCAACAAAAACAUCCAGAUCCCAAAAAAAAAACGGGAUCUUGAUGGAAAACCUGGAUCCCAACACCCAAAUCCCAAGAAAAUCCACCCAGAUCCCGAUGGAAAACCCAGAUCUUGAUGGAAAACUGGGAUCCCAAACACCCAAAUCCCAACAAAUCACACCCAGAUCCCGAAAAAAAAACGGGAUCCUGAUGGAAAACCGGGAUCCCGAUGGAAAACCGGGAUCUCAACACCCAAAUCCCAGAAAAUCACACCCAGAUCCUGAAAAAAACCCAGGAUUUCAAUGGAAAACUGGGAUCUCAAUGGAAAAGUGGGAUCCAACACCCAAAUCCCAAAUCCACCCAGAUUCCAACGGAAAACCGGGAUCCCGAUGGAAAACCUGGGAUCUCAACACCCAAAUCCCAGAAAAUCACACCCAGAUCCUGAAAAAAAAACAGGAUUUCAAUGGAAAACCGGGAUCUCGAUGGAAAAGUGGGAUCCCAACACCCAAAUCCCAACAAAAUCCACCCAGAUUCCAACGGAAAACCGGGAUCCCGAUGGAAAACCUGGAUCUCAACACCCAAAUCCCAACAAAUCACACCCAGAUCCUGAAAAAAACCCAGGAUCCCAAUGGAAAACCGGGAUCUCGAUGGAAAAGUGGGAUCCAACACCCAAAUCCCAACAAAUCACACCCAGAUCCUGAAAAAAAACAGGAUUCCAAUGGAAAACCGGGAUCCAAACGGAAAACCGGGAUCUUGAUGGAAAACCGGGAUCCCAACACCCAAAUCCCAAUAAAUCACACCCAGAUUCCGAUGGAAAACCGGGAUCCUGAUGGAAAACUGAGAUCCCGGCACCCAAAUCUCAACAAAUCACACCCAGAUUCCAAAAAAACCCCGGGAUCCCAAUGGAAAACCGGGAUCCCAACACCCAAAUCCCAGCAAAUCACACCCAGAUCCCAAUGGAAAACCCAGAUCUUGAUGGAAAACCGGGAUCCCAACACCUAA
rnacentral:lncRNA from 1 species